UGACCUCAAAUCAGGUAGGAUUACCCGCUGAACUUAAGCAUAUCAAUAAGCGGAGGAAAAGAAACUAACAAGGAUUCCCCUAGUAACUGCGAGUGAAGCGGGAAAAGCUCAAAUUUAAAAUCUGGCGGUCUUUGGCCGUCCGAGUUGUAGUCUGGAGAAGUGCUUUCCGCGCUGGACCGUGUACAAGUCUCUUGGAACAGAGCGUCAUAGAGGGUGAGAAUCCCGUCUUUGACACGGACUACCAGUGCUUUGUGAUGCGCUCUCAACGAGUCGAGUUGUUUGGGAAUGCAGCUCAAAAUGGGUGGUAAAUUCCAUCUAAAGCUAAAUAUUGGCGAGAGACCGAUAGCGAACAAGUACCGUGAGGGAA
rnacentral:rRNA from 1 species